rnacentral:misc_RNA from 1 species
UCUCCGUAGGUGAACCUGCGGAGGGAUCAUUACAGAGUUCAUGCCCUACCGGGUCGAUCUCCCACCCUAUGUUAUUAUUACUUUGUUGCUUUGGCGGGCCGUUAGGCUCCGGCCCGACUACCGGCCCCGGCUGGUAAGCGCCCACCAGAGGACCCAAAAUCCUGAAUCUUAGUGUCGUCUGAGUACUAUAUAAUAGUUAAAACUCUCAACAACGGAUCUCUUGGUUCUG